UACGGAGGGUGCAAGCNUUAAUCGGAAUUACUGGGCGUAAAGCGCACGCAGGCGGUCUGUCAAGUCGGAUGUGAAAUCCCCGGGCUCAACCUGGGAACUGCAUUCGAAACUGGCAGGCUAGAGUCUUGUAGAGGGGGGUAGAAUUCCAGGUGUAGCGGUGAAAUGCGUAGAGAUCUGGAGGAAUACCGGUGGCGAAGGCGGCCCCCUGGACAAAGACUGACGCUCAGGUGCGAAAGCNUGGGGAGCAAACAGGAUUAGAUACCCUGGUAGUCCACGCCGUAAACGAUGUCGAC
rnacentral:rRNA from 1 species